CAGGAGAAAGAAGGAAAAUUGAAAUAUGAACAAAAAAAUAAGAAAAGCAAGCUGUACCAGAAGAUGCCGAGAACCACAGGCCUUAUUCACAAAGCUUAAGUUGAAGCCAUGAUGCAGCUUGAGCAAAGCCAGGAGCCAAAAGGCUUCCUCUGGGCACUGAGAGUCAGCACAACCCCAGGUGCUAACGUAAAGCGACAGACAUGCAUAAACAAAGCCACACCUGUUAAAGCAAUGUGGGCAGCAGAGGAGAAAAGGUAAGGGCGGUGCAAUUUAAAGAGCUCGGGGUAGUUUCACAUGACCCUCCAGAAUCUGUUUGUGUCCGUUGUGCAGGGACAAACAGUGGCACUUUGCCAGCUUCAGUAGAGAUCAGACAGACACUGGAACAAGGUUAAAAGAAGAAAGGAGGAAAAAAAAAAGUUAGGUAAGUUUCUCCACAGCAGCAGCUUCCUUGCUGGGCUCCUGCCGAGGACCGAGACCCAGGCGCUCCACAAGGUGGGCACCUGCUUUGGUCCAUCACCACCCCCCUGCUGCCACUGAAACCAGGCUCCUGGUAAGUCAUGUGUUUGCUCAAUGUUUUAAUCCCCAGCCCUCCCUCCUCUUCCAAUAAAUGCUCUCAAUAUGAAAUUAAAGCAUGUUACUUAACUUACUGCACCAUCCAGCUAUUGUAUUUUUAGAAGCUAGCUGAGCAUUAGCCCUCACUGACUUGUUUGCAUGUACUACUUUCUGUCAGUCAGCAUCUGCGACCAAGGAUGACUUAAUUGAGUGUCUAGGAAGAGUGCUAGAAGGAUCUGAAACAGCAUUUAUUUCUUACAUACUCAUUAGCAUUUCAUACAGUCAAACACCAUCAUUACAUGUUAGGUUUCAGUGUCCUUUUGCAAACCUACAUUGCACAAUGCAAAAUGUAACAUGCUUGCAUCACAUUAAGAGCCAAAGUCCACUCAUAGGCAGUGUUAUCUCUACAUAUCAGUAACCAGGACAAUCUGGAUUUAUUUUUCAAUCUAUAAUCAAGCCUUUCAAGUUGCACUGCUUCAACUAUGACACGCAACAUUUGCUGCUGUUUGUGCUAGCAUCAUAAGCAUUUCAGUUAUCAAAGAAAACAUUAAAUCUGCUGGUUUAAUCAGAGAAUCAGACAGUCAUAUACUAUAGCAGUUCUGCUGUCUGCUCACAAGGUCUUUAUUCACUUCUUCCACUCCAAGGGUUACUGUUCCCACCCGCAGUUUUGCUUAGAAGAGUAUCCAUCAGUAUGAGACAGUAUUAUGAGGCUGACAAGCAUGUUGCUGCUACUCUAUUGCUGCUUCUGUCAGCCUGGUUCCUUCAGCAAAGGUUAUCCAAUCAUUUAGGAUAAUCCUACAGGUAAAUAGGGCUUAGAGAAGGGCGGAAGCAGAUCCCAAAGUACAAAUAAUAAACUAUCAUCUAUACUUUCUUUCUCCCUGCUUCUUUGCAGUGAAAGGGACCUGACUUUAGCAUAGACAGAGUAGCUUUCUGUAGAGGUCUGGAAAUCCCCUUUUACUGAAAGGUUCAACUUUUUCAGCAGUCACUGGAAGUUUAUGAGAUGGAGGAAGGCAACAAGUGGCAGCACAGCUUCUCGGAAGCUCCUGGGAGCAUGGCCAGACAGAGGAUGUCCAGAUCACCAAGACAACAGUCCCUGGUUUUCGAUUUACUGUCACUGUCUGCAAACCCACACAGCCAUUCCCCUGAACAAAAGGUUCAAUUGAGCAAAAGUCACGCAUACUCAUGCCAGCAGUCCCACAGUGACAAAUUAAGAUCAUGACACACUUCUAAUGUCUGUACACUGUCCAGCACAAGAGAAAGUCAAGUCAGAUGUGCUGAUGGGUCCCACUGUGGUCUAGGAGGCUAUCAACGUAGAUACACCUCAGUUUUCACAGAGGCCCUCCUGCCACACCAGGAGCUCACUGCCUACCUGGCAGUGCCAGGUUAUCACAUCAAAGUAGAUGUCUUCAAACUAGUUGAGCAAAAAGAGAAAAUUAGCCAGGUCAUUUACCUGAACCACCUUAGCUUCACUCCAUUCAGGCAACUUGUGUAAAGCAAAAUUAAGUAUGUUGUGUGAGCUCAGAUUGAGGAAACUACUGCAAAGUGUUAAAAGUAUAAGUUUGGUUUCCAAAAAAGCAAUUAUUAAAAUGCACUGAAGAGGUGUCCACCAAGGGCCGUGAAAGAAUAGACACUGCUCCAGGUUUCAGAAGCAGGAAGAGGAUACUUUGAGAAAUCAGACCAUCUAUCUGCAACUUGUUACUCUUGCACAAAGAACACUCUGAGGUAGACAAACAUUUCUUUACCUGACCCAACACUGCCAUUCUUAACAUGCUUCUGGAGUUUCCUUAGGCAAUAAACAGAUUCCGCAGCAUUUCUUCUAAGGACCACUUCAUAUGAUUCUUCAAUUCCCAUACAAAUGAGUAUUAGGAUGUAAAAGUAACUUUCUGCCUCGUUUUCUAAGCUAUGUUUCUUCCUUACACCAUGAUUUUGCAGCCUUGCUUAAAGCCUUACUUAAAGCAUCAAAUGUAUUCAAAUAUGGUAAGUGCCAAGUAGCCAGCUAUUUAUCUAAGCGAACUUUCCUAUAGCUUACUGCUAUCUGCAGCCAUCCAGAGUUUCUGGAUGUUCUGUCACUCAGUUUUACUCUUAGCCCUGUGAAGGCUAUUACAGGAAGAAAUCCACCAAACAGAUCCAGACCAAUAUUCAAGCUCUAAUCCAAACUCCACAGUCUAGAUCAGCUAGUAAUGCAUAUGACGCUCCUUGCCUAAAAUAUUUAAGUCACUGGGCUUCUUAGUGCUAAAUACAGCAGCACAGUCCCCUACCAGGUAGUUGUUUGGUACUACAUAUUUUCAGCCUGCCAAUCCAGAGCUUGAAGAACUAUGUUUCAAGUACAGUCACGCAGGAAGAGCAGGGCUCUUGGUUUUGUCCAAAAUCCCUGCUUUGUAAAUAAUUUCAAGUUUACUCAAGCACAGUUCAUAUUUUUUACUGUCUUCUGCCAGAGAUCCAAUCACACGUUCCCUGAGCCAGUGUCACAGAAACAUAGAAGAAACAGGCUUUGCACACUAGGCAAAAAACUUUAAAGUGCAUUCUCAGACAACCCACAUAUUACAUAAUUAAAGAUCUGUAACUAGUUUUCCUGCCUCUUACCUAUAGUCAUUUGACUAGAUAAGAGCCAAGUGAAAGACUCAGUAAGUCAACAGAGUAACCGUGAACCUAGAAUUUUAGCAUUCCCAUUGCUAAGAGAGCUUGUACAAACAAGGGCUUAAAAUAAAGCUACUUAGCUUUGUCAAAACUCAAGACUCUCUCUCCUGAAGUAGCAAAGCCACUAACUGUAGGAACCCUUCUGAUUUCCCAGUGCUAGCUGUCAAGACUGAGAGCGAUAACCCUACAGAUCAGGAACAAACAAACCCAGUUUGUGAUUACAGGAAUAGCAAAGGUAGCAGCACAUUCCUUCCAAUGCACUGGAGCACCUCUGAUCCUCGCUGCCACGAAUCACCAGAAACAUGCAGGGCACAUGGAUUUAUUGCUGUCCAUACAUUCAUACAACCCUCAGCAGACUUCCCAGCCCACCAUGCAACAUAUACAAUAGCUAUGAGAAACACAGCUUAUCAGGAAUAGGCAAAGAAAGAAGGAAAGUGAGAGAGACUGACAGACAAGACAGACCUGCGUUCGUGAUCUAUGUCUCUGCAGUGACAGGGAAUUUGUUAAAUGAAUCACAGGAAUUAUAUUACAUCCCAUGAUACAGAGGAAGGCAGAAAGGCUUGCCACUCUGACCUUGGAGGAACUUAUCUCCCGACCCCCGUCUGGAUUUCUACAACCCACUGACCAGAAAGUCCUUCAAUUCAGAAAAAAAAAAUAAAAUAAAUAAAAAAAUAGGGUUUGGACCCUGUUGCAACACCAAAACUCUUGUAGUUUGUGUGCCUGGAGUCAGUGAAGUGUUUCUUCUCUUACAGCAAGAAAAAAAAAAUCUUUCUUAAAUACAUGGGCUGAUAUGGUCAUACAAUAUACUGCUAUAGCUGAGCCACAAGGUUGUUUUCCUGAAAGUGUUUCAUAUUUAUUUUAAGGAGUAUUACCAGUUAUGUGACUUGUCGCUACCUGCAUUGCAACUGCUAUCAGGGAAGUGCUGUUCCACACCAAAAGCUACUGUUACUUACUAGCCAGCUGCUGCCUUUUUUUUUCUUUCUUUCUUUCCCAAAAAAGUGUCUCUUUGCACACCCAGGAAAUAAACAAACAUAAAUCUAAUCUGUCAAGAGCUGGACCACGAUUAACAACCUCCAGCUGUAUCUGGUAGCGGCAGUUUACUCAUGAAAGGCUUUUCCAGCAAGGCAGGAGUGAGCACACCAUGUUUAGCUGAUAGCUUCAGUAAUGCACUUGCACAGCACCCAUACACACUAGCAUUGCAGAUGCAGCUUCUUUAGGCUGGUCUUUGCUAAACUGGCAUUAGCAAGGUUUUCAACACUACCAAACCCAGAAUUUGGCAAGAACUACAUCAAAUUAAAUUUCUCUCACUCGAUGUCCCCUUGUAGUAUAAACUGACUGCUUCUGCAAGAAUGUAGCUGCCUCCCAGUACUCUGCAGAGAAAAAAAUGGAUAGCAUAUUCCCCAGUUUGCACUGUUUGGACCAGACUGCCGUUUAUUAUGGUAGAAGAAAAUUCAGUACAUCAUGGUUGCUGUCUUUUAAUCAGCUAGCAAGGAGGGAAUCCAACUGACAGGCUUAGAAAUGCUAAAAGCUUUGUUCUAUUUUUAAUGAGACUAAAACCACUGUGGCUGUUAAGAGACAGUUUACAUAGUUUACAGCUAAAAUAAAGUCUUGAAAUACAGAAAAGAAACAAAAGCACAAGGUUCUCAAAGAAAGCAAUCACUUCUUAGAACUGUCUUCAGCUAGAAAGCACUUCAAAAAUGAAGCAGUUACGUUCUGAUAAAAUGUCUUUUUGCUUAUUUUUUAAAAACAUAAGCUAGGUUCCUUUUAAUUUCUAACAACACACCACUGAAUAAAUGAGGUUUAUAUUAAGAAAUUAUUCCCAGUUGAAAAUUAUAUGCUUAUAUGAAAAUUCUGUUUCUUCUGAUGCUGCCAACAGAUCCUGAUAAUGUAUCUUUUGCUUGUGCUUAAUUUAGCCUUUCCUCCAAAGCAAGUCACUCUCACUGGCAAGGGACUGCCACUGAUAAAGCUAU